AGCAGUUGAAGGAGAAAAAAACAAAAGUUCUUCUGAUCUUAGACUCUUUGGAGCUGGGCGGGAGAAAUACUAAAGCAGUUUCCAAAGUGGAAAAGCUACCACUGAAAACUGAAAAAUGGACUCUUCUAUGCCUGAGGUGCCAGUUUCUAAGAGUCUGUACUAUUAUACUCAGAUUUGGGAAGAGCAUAUGGAAAGAACUGUGUUCAGUCCUGGGUACUUCAGUUAAUGGAAGAAAUUGUUUCCCUGGAGAUUAUUCUGUUCAGAGAAUGAUAACGACAAUGGAGAAGGAUCUGAAUCCAGUACAUACUAUAUAAGAAUUGAUUGAAGAAUCUGUGCAUAAUGAAUUGGGAAUUCAAGAGAAAACUCAAGGGAAACAUACAAAUUCUUUGAAUAAAUGGAAGAGGGAUUUGGCUUUUUCCUGAUAGCACAGGACAAGAGAAAUGGGUAUGAAUUGCAAUGAAGCAAAAUUCAGGCUUGUUGUCAGGGGGAAAAAUAAAAACUUUCUAACAAGUA